GUUUAUGUUCUUCCUCCGGGACAUUUCUCGGUAGGUGAUGCCCUCCGUGGUCAUCGAAUUUCUUUUUGCAUGGACUUCUAGACGUCCUCGAUCGAUUUGUUAUUAUUAUUAUUAUUAUUAUUAUCAUUGUUAUUGUUAAUCAGUAUAUCAGAUGGGGAAAGAAACAAAGAGUAUGUGGGCAAGAAGUGAUUGAGGUGAAAAAAAUGCUGGGAUAAUGUGCAAUAAUUACAAUCACAACGUCGUCGAUCGUUGGACUUGCCUCUGCUCAUUGGAGCUAGAUUCCUUGGGUAAUAAUAGUAAAUAAUUACAGUGAGCUGUUCUUCCAGAAGAGGGAAGGAAUAAGGUCGAUUCACACGUGUGGCGCUCCCAACGGUCGACCCGCCAGAUGAUGGUGCCUCAGGAAGCCCCGCCCUCGAACCAGACCCACCUAGAGGGCCUGAAUAUCUGCCGUAAAAGAGCCAUCUUGGGCACGUUCCAGUGUUCAACGUGCCUGAAAGAAGAAGAAGAAGAAGAAGAAGAAGAAGAAGAAGAUGCAGAAGCCGAUGUUUUAGCAGAAGAAGAAGAAGAAGAAGAUGCAGAAGCAGAUGUUUUAGCAGAAGAAGAAGAA
rnacentral:lncRNA from 1 species